GUUAUAGCUCAGUAGCAGAACAUCUGUUUUUCAUGCAGAAGGUCCAGGCUCAAUCCCUAGCAUCUCCA